rnacentral:rRNA from 1 species
GCGCGAAAACUUUACAAUGCUGGCAACAGCGAUAAGGGAACCUCGAGUGCCAGGUUACAAAUCUGGCUGUCGAGAUGCCUAAAAAGCAUUUCAUAGCAAGGGCCGGGCAAGACCGGUGCCAGCCGCCGCGGUAACACCGGCGGCUCGAGUGGUAACCGGUAUUAUUGGGUCUAACGGGUCUGUAGCCGGGCGGAUAAGUCUCUUGAGAAAUCUGGCAGCUUAACUGUCAGGCUUUCAGGAGAGACUGUCUGGCUCGAGGCCGGGAGAGGUGAGAGGUACUUCAGGGGUAGGGGUGAAAUCUUGUAAUCCUUGAAGGACCACCAGUGGCGAAGGCGUCUCACCAGAACGGACCUGACGGCAAGGGACGAAAGCUAGGGGCACGAACC